AAACAGUAUUCAAAUUUCAUCAAUGACAUCUGGAACAUUGAAUGGACUACAAAGGAUAAAGACCCUGAACAUUUUCUCAAAUUACAAGUUGAAACACCUGACUGCCUUCAUAUUUCACAAUCUCACGGAUAUAACAUUGAUUGAUCUAAAGGAGUGUCGUAUAGAAACCAUAGAAGCAAAUACGUUCUUCAAUAUAACAGG